UAUUUUCGGCUGAAAUCACAGUGUCAUUCGCACACCGGACGUUAUCGAUUCUAGCCCCGUCAAGCCGUACACUUUUUUCUAUUCCGUCGAGAGCCUCGUCGAAUGUUUUCUCGGUGCAGAGGUUGAAAAUUAAGGGCGAGACGUGACAACGGUUGCAUCUCCGUGGGACAUAUUCUGCAUGUUGUGUUGGGAAAACUGUGUAUUACCUCGCCUAGUCCCUAGCGAUACCAUAGACAAUAUAAACAAUGCAUACACAAUGACAUAUUGUACACGGACAGGACAAUCCCUAUACCCAAUACACACGGUGUAAUGUUUCCGAAGAGAAUAUAUGUUAUCACGCUGGAUACUUGUGGUUAAUGUAGUGGUUUACGGUAAUAUAGAUUAUUUAUGGUUACCAAUUGAUAAUACAAUUUUUUUAACACAUACAUAUGAAACGCCCAACU